rnacentral:rRNA from 1 species
UCGAGCGCGCCUUCGGGCGAGCGGCGGACGGGUUAGUAACGCGUGGGAACGUGGCCAGAUCUACGGAAUAGCCACUGGAAACGGUGAGUAAUACCGUAUACGCCCUUCGGGGGAAAGAUUUAUCGGAUUUGGAUCGGCCCGCGUUAGAUUAGGUAGUUGGUGGGGUAACGGCCUACCAAGCCUACGAUCUAUAGCUGGUUUUAGAGGAUGAUCAGCAACACUGGGACUGAGACACGGCCCAGACUCCUACGGGAGGCAGCAGUGGGGAAUCUUGGACAAUGGGGGCAACCCUGAUCCAGCCAUGCCGCGUGAGUGAAGAAGGCCCUAGGGUCGUAAAACUCUUUCGCCUGUGAUGAUAAUGACAGUAGCAGGUAAAGAAACCCCGGCUAACUCCGUGCCAGCAGCCGCGGUAAUACGAAGGGGGUUAGCGUUGUUCGGAAUUACUGGGCGUAAAGCGCACGUAGGCGGAUUAGAAAGUUAGAGGUGAAAUCCCGGGGCUCAACCCCGGAACUGCCUUUAAAACUACUAGUCUAGAGUUCGAGAGAGGCGAGUGGAAUUCCGAGUGUAGAGGUGAAAUUCGUAGAUAUUCGGAGGAACACCAGUGGCGAAGGCGGCUCACUGGCUCGAUACUGACGCUGAGGUG